rnacentral:rRNA from 1 species
UUUUUGGAGAGUUUGAUCCUGGCUCAGGACGAACGCUGGCGGCGUGCCUAAUACAUGCAAGUCGAGCGAAUCUGAUGGGAGCUUGCUCCCUGAUGAUUAGCGGCGGACGGGUGAGUAACACGUGGGUAACCUGCCUGUAAGACUGGGAUAACUCCGGGAAACCGGGGCUAAUACCGGAUAACUUUUUCCUUCGCAUGAAGGAGAAUUGAAAGGUGGCACUAGCUACCACUUACAGAUGGACCCGUGGCGCAUUAGCUAGUUGGUGAGGUAACGGCUCACCAAGGCGACGAUGCGUAGCCGACUUGAGAGGGUGAUCGGCCACACUGGGACUGAGACACGGCCCAGACUCCUAC